rnacentral:rRNA from 1 species
CCUACGGGUGGCAGCAGUGGGGAAUAUUGCACAAUGGGGGAGACCCUGAUGCAGCAACGCCGCGUGAAGGAAGACGGUUUUCGGAUUGUAAACUUCUGUUCUUAGUGAAGAAUAAUGACGUUAGCUCCUGAUCAAGCCACGGCUAACUACGUACCAGCAGCCACGGUAAUACGUAGGUGGCACGCUUUGUCCGGAAUUACUGGGUGUAAAGGGAGCGCCGGCGGGAAGCGAAGUCAGCUGUGAAAACUACGGGCUUAACGUGUAGACUGCAGUUGAAACUGGUUUUCUUGAGUGAAGUAGAGGUGGGCGGAAUGCGGGGUGUAGCGGUGAAAUGCGUAGAUAUCAGGCGGAACACCGGUGGCGAAGGCGGCCAACUGGGCUUUAACUGACGCUGAGGCUCGAAAGUGUGGGGAGCAAACAGGAUUAGAUACCCGAGUAGUC